CCUUGAAAAGGGGGUUAAACAGUACGUGAAAUUGUUGAAAGGGAAGCGCUUGUGACCAGACUUGCGCCGGGCGGUUCAUCCGGGGUUCUCCCCGGUGCACUCCGCCCGGCUCAGGCCAGCAUCGGUUUUCGUUGGGGGAUAAGAACGUCAGGAACGUGGCCCUCCUUCGGGUGGGUGUUAUAGCCUGGCGUACGAUACCCUGACGGGGACCGAGGUUCGCGCUCCGCAAGGAUGCUGGCGUAAUGGUCAUCAGCGACCCGUCUUGAAACACGGACCAAGGAGUCGUCCAUUAGAGCGAGCGUUUGGGUGUCAAACCCGCACGCGUAAUGAAAGUGAAAUUAGGUGAGAGCUUCGGCGCAUCAUCGACCGAUCCUGAUGUUCUCGGAUGGAUUUGAGUAAGAGUUUUAACGGACGGACCCGAAAGACAGUGAACUAUGCUUGUAUAGGGUGAAGCCAGAGGAAACUCUGGUGGAGGCUCGCAGCGGUUCUGACGUGCAAAUCGAUCGUCAAAUAUGAGCAUGGGGCGAAAGACUAAUCGAACCU
rnacentral:rRNA from 1 species